UUAUUUGAGGGCAAUCUGGCUGCGACAUCUGUCAGCCCAUUGAUUGCCAGGGUUGAUUCGGCUGAUCUGGCUGGCUAGGCAGGUGUCCCCUUCCUCUCUGACUGCUCCAUAUGCAUCCCUCCCAAAUCCCAGUCAAAGAGGAUGACCUUCCCCAAAUAGAGGGGGACUGGCCUUUGAUCAGGGGCAUAGGAGUAGCUGUACUCCCCUACUAGAACCUCCAAACAAUCUCUAAAGGGUAACAUUGUUUAUAGCCUUGAUUCCACAGCAUUUACUGUUUUGCCAAGUGCCACAAGGGUAAGGGUACCUGCUUGCUUCCUUCU
rnacentral:snRNA from 1 species